UACGUAGGGGGCUAGCGUUGUCCGGAAUCAUUGGGCGUAAAGCGCGUGUAGGCGGUCCGGUAAGUCCGCUGUGAAAGUCGAGGGCUCAACCCUCGAAUGCCGGUGGAUACUGUCGGGCUUGAGUACGGGAGAGGCGAGUGGAAUUCCUGGUGUAGCGGUGAAAUGCGCAGAUAUCAGGAGGAACACCGGUGGCGAAGGCGGAUCUCUGGGCCUUACCUGACGCUGAGGCGCGAAAGCUAGGGGAGCGAACAGG
rnacentral:rRNA from 1 species